GGUAGUGUGGCCGAGCGGUCUAAGGCGCUGGAUUAAGGUUCCAGUUCCUGUAGAGGCGUGGGUUCGAAUCCCGCCACUGCCA